ACUCUACUAAACCUAAAGGCGCAAUGAAAGUGAAGGUCCGCCUUGCGCGGACCUAGGGAGGAUGGGCCCGUCCACGGGCGGGCCCCGCACUCCCGGGGCGUCUCGUUCUCAUCGCGAGAAGAGGCGCACCCAGAGCGUACACGCUGGGACCCGAAAGAUGGUGAACUAUGCCUGGUCAGGACGAAGUCAGGGGAAACCCUGAUGGAGGUCCGUAGCGAUUCUGACGUGCAAAUCGAUCGUCGGAACUGGGUAUAGGGGCGAAAGACUAAUCGAACCUUCUAGUAGCUGGUUCCUUCCGA
rnacentral:rRNA from 1 species